rnacentral:rRNA from 1 species
CGACCGCUGGCGGCGUGCUUAACACAUGCCAGUCGAACGGAAAGGCCCUGCUUUUGUGGGGUGCUCGAGUGGCGAACGGGUGAGUAACACGUGAGUAACCUGCCCUUGACUUUGGGAUAACUUCAGGAAACUGGGGCUGAUACCGGAUAGGAGCUCCUGCUGCAUGGUGGGGGUUGGAAAGUUUCGGCGGUUGGGGAUGGACUCGCGGCUUAUCAGCUUGUUGGUGGGGUAGUGGCUUACCAAGGCUUUGACGGGUAGCCGGCCUGAGAGGGUGACCGGCCACAUUGGGACUGAGAUACGGCCCAGACUCCUACGGGAGGCAGCAGUGGGGAAUAUUGCACAAUGGGCGGAAGCCUGAUGCAGCAACGCCGCGUGCGGGAUGACGGCCUUCGGGUUGUAAACCGCUUUCGCCUGUGACGAAGCGUGAGUGACGGUAAUGGGUAAAGAAGCACCGGCUAACUACGUG